GAAAUAUAAAUUAUUAAGCUGCUAACUUAAUUUAUAGUGAUUAAAUUCAUUAAUAUUUCU
rnacentral:tRNA from 2 species